CCGACUGCUAUUUGGGUGAGAAUAAGCCAGGCGAGUUGAAUGGGAUACCUAAAUUUCCCAUAGCAAACUGCUCAGUAACACAUGAUCAACUUACCCUAUAGAGAAAAAUAACCUCGGGAAACUGAGGAUAAUGUUUCAUAAUUGAAUUGGCUUGGAAAAGUUUUUCAAUGAAAAGGAUAAAAAAAAUGGUUUUUAUCUGCUAUAGGAUAGGAUCGUGUUCGAUUAUGGUUGUUGGUGAGAUAAUGGCUCACCAAGCCGAUAAUCGAUAGGGGCCGUGAGAGCGGGUGCCCCGAGAUGGGUACUGAGACAACGACCCAGGCCUUACGAGGCGCAGCAGGCGCGGAACCUCCGCAAUACACGAAAGUGUGACGGGGUUACCCAAAGUGUUCAAUAGAACUGUGGUAGGUGAGUAAUGUCCCCUACUAGAAAGGAGAGGGCAAGGCUGGUGCCAGCCGCCGCGGUAAAACCAGCUCUUCAAGUGGUCGGGAUAAUUAUUGGGCUUAAAGUGUCCGUAGCCGGUUUAGUAAGUUCCUGGUAAAAUCGGGUAGCUUAACUAUCUGCAUGCUAGGAAUACUGCUAUACUAGAGGGCGGGAGAGGUCUGAGGUACUACAGGGGUAGGGGUGAAAUCUUAUAAUCCUUGUAGGACCACCAGUGGCGAAGGCGUCAGACUGGAACGCGCCUGACGGUGAGGGACGAAAGCCAGGGGAGCGAACCGGAUUAGAUACCCGGGUAGUCCUGGCCGUAAACGAUGCAUACUAGGUGAUGGUACGGCCAUGAGCCGUAUCAGUACCGUAGGGAAACCGUUAAGUGUGCCGCCUGGGAAGUACGGUCGCAAGGCUAAAACUUAAAGGAAUUGGCGGGGGAGCACCACAAGGGGUGAAGCCUGCGGUUCAAUUGGAGUCAACGCCG
rnacentral:rRNA from 1 species